rnacentral:rRNA from 1 species
CCGGCACGGGUGAGUAAUACGUAUCCAACCUGCCGUCUACUCUUGGCCAGCCUUCUGAAAGGAAGAUUAAUCCAGGAUGGCAUCAUGAGUUCACAUGUCCGCAUGAUUAAAGGUAUUUUCCGGUAGACGAUGGGGAUGCGUUCCAUUAGAUAGUAGGCGGGGUAACGGCCCACCUAGUCAACGAUGGAUAGGGGUUCUGAGAGGAAGGUCCCCCACAUUGGAACUGAGACACGGUCCAA